GACGAACGCUGGCGGCGUGCUUAACACAUGCAAGUCGAACGGAAAGGCCCUGCUUUUGUGGGGUGCUCGAGUGGCGAACGGGUGAGUAACACGUGAGUAACCUGCCCUUGACUUUGGGAUAACUUCAGGAAACUGGGGCUAAUACCGGAUAGGAGCUCCUGCUGCAUGUUGGGGGUUGGAAAGUUUCGGCGGUUGGGGAUGGACUCGCGGCUUAUCAGCUUGUUGGUGGGGUAGUGGCUUACCAAGGCUUUGACGGGUAGCCGGCCUGAGAGGGUUACCGGCGACAUGGGGACUGAGGUACGGCCCAGACUCCUACGGGAGGCAGCAGUGGGGAAUAUGGCACAGUGGGCGGAAGCCUGAUGCAGCGACGCCGCGUGCGGGAUGACGGCCUUCGGGUUGUAAACCGAUUUCGCCUGUGACGAAGCGUGAGUGACGGUAAUGGGUAAAGAAGCACCGGCUAACUACGUG
rnacentral:rRNA from 1 species